GACAGAGGGUGCGAACGUUGCUCGGAAUUACUGGGCGUAAAGCGCGUGUAGGCGGGUACGUGUGUCGGGUGUGAAAUCCCCAGGCUCAACCUGGGAACUGCAUCCGAAACUGCGUAUCUAGAGUGUCGGAGAGGGAAGUGGAAUUCGUGGUGUAGAGGUGAAAUUCGUAGAUAUCAUGAGGAACACCGGUGGCGAAGGCGGCUUCCUGGACGACGACUGACGCUGAGACGCGAAAGCGUGGGGAGCAAACAGG
rnacentral:rRNA from 1 species